rnacentral:rRNA from 1 species
UACAGAGGGGGCAAGCGUUGUCCGGAUUUACUGGGCGUACAGCGCGCGCAGGCGGCCAGGUACGUGUGACCGGUGACAUCCUCGGGCUCAACCCGAGGCGGCCCGGUUAGACAGCCGUGGCUGGAGGCAGGGAGAGGGAUGUCGGAAUACCGGUGGAGCGGUGAAAUGCGUAGAGAUCGGGUGGAACACCAGCGGCGAAGGCGGCAUCCUGGCCCUGUACUGACGCUGAGGCGCGAUAGCGUGGGGAGCAAACGGG